rnacentral:piRNA from 1 species
UACGAUUGGAUGCCUGGUGUGGGGU